AAAGGAUGCUUAGGAUCAGGAAGAAGUGCUCUUUGCUCCCUGAUCGGAGGAAAGAACAGCAUCAUGAGAAUCUUCCCAGCGAGUCCUCUGCGUGAAGGGCAAGUGGUGACCUGUGUGAGGACAGAAGAACACAAGGAGACAUGGCAGAAACCUUGGAAACAAAAGUAACUGCGCAGUGAGUCAUUGGAACCCACUGGGGACUUCCAAGUUCAAGGGGAUUGUUUCCCAGCUAAGGAAUUCACUAUCUCUGUUAUACUUCUUAAGAAUGUGAGUAUAUUUUCCAUUGGAAAAAUAAUCCUAUUUCUGAAAGUAAGGGGCGGAAAAAGUUUUUCCUGUAUUUGCCUAGG